rnacentral:rRNA from 1 species
AGUGAACGCUGGCGGCAGGCCUAACACAUGCAAGUCGAACGGCAGCACAGGGGUAGCAAUACCCUGGGUGGCGAGUGGCGGACGGGUGAGGAAUACGUCGGAAUCUGCCUAUUUGUGGGGGAUAACGUAGGGAAACUUACGCUAAUACCGCAUACGACCUACGGGUGAAAGCGGAGGACCUUCGGGCUUCGCGCAGAUAGAUGAGCCGACGUCGGAUUAGCUAGUUGGCGGGGUAAAGGCCCACCAAGGCGACGAUCCGUAGCUGGUCUGAGAGGAUGAUCAGCCACACUGGAACUGAGACACGGUCCAGACUCCUACGGGAGGCAGCAGUGGGGAAUAUUGGACAAUGGGCGCAAGCCUGACCCAGCCAUGCCGCGUGUGUGAAGAAGGCC